rnacentral:rRNA from 1 species
AUUACUCCUACGGGAGGCAGCAGUAGGGAAUCUUCCGCAAUGGACGAAAGUCUGACGGAGCAACGCCGCGUGAGUGAUGAAGGCUUUCGGGUCGUAAAACUCUGUUGUUAGGGAAGAAUAAGUGCUAGUUGAAUAGGCUGGCACCUUGACGGUACCUAACCAGAAAGCCACGGCUAACUACGUGCCAGCAGCCGCGGUAAUAAU